rnacentral:rRNA from 1 species
UGAAUACGAGAUGCUACGGCGUCGAAGCAGUCUAUGUCAUACUUCCAAGAAAAGCUUGCACUGUCAUAAACAAAUAAUGCCUGUACCAUAACCGACACAGGUGGGUAGGUAGAGUAUACUAAGGGGCGCGAGAUAACUCUCUCUAAGGAACUCGGCAAAAUGACUCCGUAACUUCGGGAGAAGGAGUGCCUUAUUUAUAAGGUUGCAAUAACAAGAUCCAAGCAACUGUUUACCAAAAACACAGGUCUCCGCUAAGUCGUAAGACGAUGUAUGGGGGCUGACGCCUGCCCAGUGCCAGAAGGUUAAAGAAGUUGGUUAGCAUCCGCGAAGCUGAUAACUGAAGCCCUGGUGAACGGUGGCCGUAACUAUAACGGUCCUAAGGUAGCGAAAUUCCUUGUCGGGUAAGUUCCGACCCGCACGAAAGGCGUAAUGAUUUGGAUACUGUCUCGGAGAGGGGCUCGGUGAAAUAGACUUGUCUGUGAAGAUGCGGACUACCUGCACCAGGACAGAAAGACCCUAUGAAGCUUUACUGUAACCUGAAAUUGAAAUUGGACUUUACUUGCGCAGUAUAGGUGGGAGGCGUUGAGAAUAUUCUUGCGGGAUUAUUGGAGCCAUCAGUGAGAUACCACUCUUGUAAUGUUAGAUUUCUAACUUUGUAUCAUUAUCUGGUCAAAGAACAGUUUCAGGCGGGCAGUUUGACUGGGGCGGUCGCCUCCUAAACGGUAACGGAGGCGCACACAAAGGUUUCCUCUGAACGGGUAGAAAUCGUAUCUAGAGUGUAAAGCCAUAAGGAAGCUUGACUGUGAGACCUACAAGUCGAGCAGGGACGAAAGUCGGUCUUAGUGAUCUGACGGUGCUGAGUGGAAAGGCCGUCACUCAACGGAUAAAAGUUACUCUAAGGAUAACAGGCUGAUCUCCCCCAAGAGUUCACAUCGACGGGGAGGUUUGGCACCUCGAUGUCGGCUCAUCGCAUCCUGGGGCGGUAGUACGUCCCAAGGGUUGGGCUGUUCGCCCAUGAAAGCGGUACGCGAGCUGGGUUCAGAACGUCGUGAGACAGUUCGGUCCAUAUCCGGUGUAGGUGUUAGAAUAUUGAGAGGAGCCUUCUUUAGUACGAGAGGACCGAGAAGGACAUACCUCUGGUGUACCAGUUAUCGUGCCAACGGUAAACGCUGGGUAGCUAUGUGUGGAGUGGAUAACCGCUGAAAGCAUCUAAGUGGGAAGCCCACCUCAAGAUAAG